GAUUAAGUUAUUAAGGGCGCACGGUGGAUGCCUUGGCACUAGAAGCCGAUGAAGGACGUUACUAACGACGAUAUGCUUUGGGGAGCUGUAAGUAAGCUUUGAUCCAGAGAUUUCCGAAUGGGGAAACCCAGCAUGAGUUAUGUCAUGUUAUCGAUAUGUGAAUACAUAGCAUAUCUGAAGGUAGACGCGGAGAACUGAAACAUCUUAGUACCCGCAGGAAGAGAAAGAAAAUCGAUUCCCUGAGUAGCGGCGAGCGAAACGGAAGAGCCCAAACCAACGAGCUUGCUUGUUGGGGUUGUAACACUCUAUACGGAGUUACAAAGAAUAAACUAGACGAAUCAUCUGGAAAGAUGAAUCAAAGAAGGUAAUAAUCCUGUAGUCGAAAGUUUAUUCACUCUUGAGUGGAUCCUGAGUACGACGGAACACGAGAAAUUCCGUCGGAAUCCGGAGGACCAUCUCUAAAUACUCUCUAGUGACCGAUAGUGAACCAGUACCGUGAGGGAAAGGUGAAAAGUACCCCGUGAAAUAGAACUUGAAACCGUGUGCUUACAAGUAGUCAGAGCCCGUUAAUGGGUGAUGGCGUGCCUUUGUAGAAUGAACCGGCGAGUUACGAUUUGAUGCAAGGUUAGUGAAUGUGGAGCCGUAGCGAAAGCGAGUCUGAAUAGGGCGUUGAGUAUUUGGUCGUAGACCCGAAACCAGGUGAUCUACCCAUGACCAGGUUGAAGUUCAGGUAACACUGAAUGGAGGACCGAACCGACUUACGUUGAAAGUGAGCGGAUGAGUUGUGGGUAGCGGAGAAAUCCAAUCGAACCUUAGCUGGUUCUCUCCGAAAUAGGGGCUAGCCUCAAGUGAUGAUUAUUGGAGGUAGAGCACUGUUUGGACGAGGGGCCCUUAUCGGGUUACCGAAUUCAGACAAACUCCGAAUGCCAAUCAAUUUAACUUGGGAGUUAGAACGCGGGUGAUAAGGUCCGUGUUCGAAAGGGAAACAGCCCAGACCACCAGCUAAGGUCCCAAAAUAUAUGUUAAGUGGAAAAGGAUGUGGCGUUGCCCAGACACUAGGAUGUUGGCUUAGAAGCAGCCAUCAUUUAAAGAGUGCGUAAUAGCUCACUAGUCGAGUGACACUGCGCCGUACCGGGGCUAAACAUAUUACCGAAGCUGUGGAUUGUCCGUAAGGACAAUGGUAGGAGAGCGUUCUAAGGGCGUUGAAGCAUGAUCGCAAGGACAUGUGGAGCGCUUAGAAGUGAGAAUGCCGUGUGAGUAGCGAAAGACGGGUGAGAAUCCCGUCCACCGAUUGACUAAGGUUUCCAGAGGAAGGCUCUCCGUCGUUAGUCGGGUCCUAAGCUGAGGCCGAUAUAGGCGAUGGAUAACAAUAUUCCUGUACCACCAUAAUUCGUUUUAAGCGAUGGGGGACGCAGGAUAGGCGAAGCGUACUAUUGGAUUGUACGUCCAAGCAGUAAGACUGAGUGUUAAAAUCCGGCACUCUUAAGGUCAAGCUGUGAUGGGGAGAGGAAAUUGUUUCCUCGAGUCGUUGAUUUCACACUGCCAAGAAAAGCCUCUAGCUAGAAUUGUGGUGCCCGUACCGCAAACCGACACAGGUAGUCAAGAUGAGAAUUCUAAGGUGAGCGAGCGAACUCUCGUUAAGGAACUCGGCAAAUGACCCCGUAACUUCGGGAGAAGGUGCUCUUUAGGGUUAACCCAGGAGAGCCAGUGAAUAGCCCAAGCGACUGUUUAUCAAAACACAGGUCUCUGCUAAACCGUAAGGUGAUGUAUAGGGCUGACGCCUGCCCGGUGCUGGAAGGUUAUUUUGCGAAGCUACGAAUCGAAGCCCCAGUAAACGGCGGCCGUAACUAUAACGGUCCUAAGGUAGCGAAAUUCCUUGUCGGGUAAGUUCCGACCCGCACGAAAGGCGUAACGAUUUGGGCACUGUCUCAACGAGAGACUCGGUGAAAUCAUAGUACCUGUGAAGAUGCAGGUUACCCGCGACAGGACGGCCCCGUGGAGCUUUACUGUAGUCUGAUAUUGAAAUUCGGCACAGCUUGUACAGGAUAGGUAGGAGCCUGAGAUGCGUGAGCGCUAGCUUACGUGGAGGCGUUGGUGGAUACUACCUCGCUGUGUUGGAUUUCUAACCCGCAAUUUAUCAUGGUGGGAGACAGUCAGAUGGGCAGUUUGACUGGGCGGUCGCCUCCAAAGAGUAACGGAGGCGCUCAAAGGUUUCCUCAGAAUGGUUGGAAAUCAUUCAUAGAGUGUAAAGGCAUAAGGAAGCUUGACUGCGAGACUUACAAGUCGAGCAGGGUCGAAAGACGGACUUAGUGAUCCGGUGGUUCCGCAUGGAAGGGCCAUCGCUCAACGGAUAAAAGCUACCCCGGGAUAACAGGCUUAUCUCCCCAAGAGUUCACAUCGACGGGAGGUUUGGCACCUCGAUGUCGGCUCAUCGCAUCCUGGGGCUGUAGUCGGUCCCAAGGGUUGGGCUGUUCGCCCAUUAAAGCGGUACGCGAGCUGGGUUCAGAACGUCGUGAGACAGUUCGGUCCCUAUCCGUCGGGCGUAGGAAAUUUGAGAGGAGCUGUCCUUAUACGAGAGGACCGGGAUGGACAUACCUCUGGUGUACCAGUUGUCGUGCCAACGGCAUCGCUGGGUAGCUGGACGGGAUAAGUGCUGAAAGCAUCUAAGCAUGAAGCCCCCUCAAGAUGAGAUUUCCAACUUCGGUUAUAAGAUCCCUCAAAGAUGAUGAGGUUAAUAGGUUCGAGGUGGAAGCAUAGCGAUAUGUGGAGCUGACGAAUACUAAUCGAUCGAAGACUUAAUCAA
rnacentral:rRNA from 1 species